rnacentral:lncRNA from 1 species
GCCAUUGCUCCAAAACUACUCCCUUGGUCGUCUUAUAAUAUAGCGCACAAUAUUUUUUUCCAUUCGUCCUCUCUUAGUUUUGGCUCGUGUCAUUGCUCCAAAACUACUCCCUUGAUCGUCUUAUAAUAUAGCGCACGUUAUUUUUUUUCUCUUCGUCCUCUCUUAGUUUUGGCUCGUGUCAUUGCUCCAAAACUACUCCCUUGGUCGUCUUAUAAUGUACCGCACAUUAUUUUUUCUUGUAAAAGUCAGUUAUGUUUAUGGCUACAUGUGGUCCGUUCAAUAAUCUUCUGUGACACCAACAGUGUCUAAUUUUGUUUUUCAGAGAAUCUUCGUCCAAGUGAUGUCUCGUCGAAGAUAAAAGAAUAGCGCAGAUACUAGUGCAAUUACAAACGUCCGCUAUGGUGUGGAUUCAGCUGACGAUCGCGUGAAAUGAAGUCGGAGUCAUCUGUUCAAAAUUUAGGGAUGGCGUAAAAAAGAGUGAUAAUGAUGACACAUGCAUGUUGUCUCCUCACGCCCUUUUGGGAGUGGUGUGUGUGGGUUAUUUAUAUGUGCCGCUCACAGAUUGUAAUAAUUUUCAUUCGUUUCUUCAUAAUUAACUGGGCAAUCUGAUGUUU